CGCGUGAACGAUGAAGGCCUUCGGGUCGUAAAGUUCUGUUGUUAGGGAAGAACAAGUACCAGAGUAACUGCUGGUACCUUGACGGUACCUAACCAGAAAGCCACGGCUAACUACGUGCCAGCAGCCGCGGUAAUACGUAGGUGGCAAGCGUUGUCCGGAAUUAUUGGGCGUAAAGCGCGCGCAGGCGGUUUCUUAAGUCUGAUGUGAAAGCCCACGGCUCAACCGUGGAGGGUCAUUGGAAACUGGGGAACUUGAGUGCAGAAGAGGAGAGUGGAAUUCCACGUGUAGCGGUGAAAUGCGUAGAGAUGUGGAGGAACACCAGUGGCGAAGGCGACUCUCUGGUCUGUAACUGACGCUGAGGCGCGAAAGCGUGGGGAGCGAACAGGAUUAGAUACCCUGGUAGUCCACGCCGUAAACGAUGAGUGCUAAGUGUUAGAGGGUUUCCGCCCUUUAGUGCUGCAGCAAACGCAUUAAGC
rnacentral:rRNA from 1 species